GCCAUAAGGAGCAUCAGAUUCCCUGGGACUGGAGUCUUAAAUGGUUAUGAACCGCCAUGUGGGUACUGGGACCUGAACCAGGUCUUCUGGAAGAGCAGAGCCAUCUCUUCAGCUGAAUUUUGUACAUCUAAAUUAUUACAUUUUAUUUUGUGAGUGUGCACAUGCCUUUGCUGGCACAAAAGCCAUGGUGCUCACUCAGAGAUCAGAGAACAACUUGUUGGAGUUGGCUCUCUCCUUUCAGCUUGUGGGUCCCAGGGAUCAGACUCAGUGUCUUUAUCCGCUGAGCCACCCAGUUUCUACAUCUUGUAUAUGUAACAAAGAGAAGGAUCAAGACGAGGAGGGUCCCAGAGUGAGAAAAGAAUGCCGGAUGUGGGACAGUGACCUGGGAGUGAAGGAAGCAGGGCAAUUUGAGAAGGCAAGAACUGGGGUUUGGGGUCCGCAGACACAGAAAUCAGGCACAUUUUUCCUGACGGAAACCUUGACUAUCACAGAUUUGUGUUUUCCUACCCACAGGUCUGAAGGACAGAAAGGAGGGGCAGGGAAGAGGUAACUCAGGAGACAAGUCCGAGUCCCAUAUAGGCUUGAAAAUGCUGUCCCCACCGACACCAGGCUGAAGCCCGUGGGAGAUGGGAGUACAGGAUUCCGCUCUCCUUUACAUUACUUAAAAUGGGAGAGAUUUAAAAACAAAACAAAACUAAAAACCAAAGGAGAGUGUGUGUGGGAGGGGCCGUUGCUAGAGGAGGCUAAGCUUUACCUGGUGGUGUUGGGGGUGGUGCUGGGGAAGGUGUCUGGGGACAGAGUUCACUCCUAAGGGAGCCUGGGAGCUAGUGAGAUGGCACAGCAGGUAAAGGUACUUGCCACCAAGACUGGUUUGAGUCUAGUCCCUGGAUCCAUAAAGCGGAACAAAAGAACUAAUUCCUGCAAAAUGUCCUCUGCUCUCCACUGAAAUGCCAUGGUGUGCCCAUCCUCCAUACACAAUAAGCAAAACGUAGUAAAAACUUUUUUUUUUUUUUUGCCUCUUUUGAGAGGAGGUUGAACACUGUAGCCUUGACUGGCCUAGUCCUUGCCAAUUAGAGCAGGCUGGCCUGAAACUCAGAGAUUCACCUGCCUCAGCCUUCCAAGUGUUUGUACUUAAGGCAUGCAUCAAAACAUUUUUUUUUUUUUAAUUUUGUUUUUCAAGACAGGGUUCCUCUGAGUAGCCCUGGAACUCACUCUGUAGUUCAGGCUGGCCUUAAACUCACAGAGAUCUGCCUGCCUGUGCCUCCUGAGUGCUGGGAUUAAAGGAGUGUGCCACUGCCUGGCCAAAAAAAAUUUUUUUGUAGAUUAAGUGUGGGUUCUUCAAGAGAUAGUAGCUUUACAGGGUUUUUGUGGUAGGUUUUACACUAAGUCUGGGAGGCGAUUUUUCACUGGAGUGACUUGCCAGGGAAUACUGAUAUUUUGGCCAGUCAAAAUAUGAAGGGCUGGAGAGAUGACUCAGUGGUGAAGAUCACUGGCUGCUUUUCUAGAGGACCUGUGUUUGACUCUCAUACCCACAUAACUGCUCACAGCCAUCUGUAAUUCCAGUUUCAGGGGAUCUGAUGCCCUCUUCUGGCACACCAGUCACAUACAUAAUACAUAGGUAUACAUGCAAGCUAAACAGCCAUAGACAUAAUAAACUAUUUUUUAAAAAAUAUGGACAGGUGUAGGGAGACAUUGUAGCCCCGCCUCCUAGUAGCCCCUACAGGUGUGACUGGCUACCCAUGUGAAGGCGUGGUCAGGGGAGGUCAAAGAUGACGCGGGGACAAUUCUUAAGGGACCGAGCACAAGUGGAUCGUGGAUCGCCCCUCUCUCUGGCCUCCCUAGCUUUCGGCCUCUGGGCACGCUCUGGCUUGUAUUUGGGCUGGUGUUUAUCUGAAUAAAGAAAUCUUAGCCUUACGGACUACGGAUCAUCUUUGAGCGCACGCUGCAGGCAAUACUCAAUACUCAACAGACAGGUUAGAAGUGUCUGAAGCGAAUUUUUUUUAUUGCAAUACAAACUUAGAUUUUUAUGUGUAAAAUUACUUAUCUAUUUUGUUUAUGAUCUAUCAAUCAUCUGCAGUGUUGUAAAAAAAAAAAGAGUAUUAAUAUGGUGGCCGAUGCUAUACCACUGAACUACCUCCCUAGUCCUUAUCUAUUUGCAGACAGACAAGAUGUCACUGUGUAGCCCAGGCUAGCUUUAAAUUUUUAAUCUUCCUGCCUCAGCCUCCGAAGUCUGAGUUGACAGGUGUGCACCACCAUUUCUGGCUGCAAAACCAGAUUACCAAGUAUUGAUUCUACAUCUAGAUACUGUAUGAUUUAUAGAUUAAAAAUUCCUGGAAUGAGGGCUGGAGAGAGGCUCAGUGGUUAAAGAGCACUGUCUGCUCUUCCAGAGCAGCUUCAGUUCCCAGCCCCUACAUGGCAGCUCACAACAGUCUAUAACUCCAGUUUCAGGGGAUCACACAGAUAUACAAGCAGGCAAGGCACCAAUG
ensembl:lncRNA